UACCAUUUUGGCGUGAGAGCUGGUGGU
rnacentral:piRNA from 1 species